rnacentral:rRNA from 1 species
AUGUCAAUGACAUAUAUCAGCAAGAAGCAUGACUAUGCUGCAACCUUGGAUGAGAAGGAGCAGCCCAAGGAUCAGAAGUCGGCCAGUGUCGAGAGCCUGCUUGUUCGGACCACAAAACUUACCACGGUUACCAUCAAGCUGUACAGGAUCAUGGUCUUUGUUCGGAUGGCCAUCUUCGUGCUGUUCUUCAAAUGGCGAAUCAGCACUGCUCUUGCGAUGAUCAGCGACGGCGCAACUACAGUUCGUGCAAUGUGGACCAUGCCCAUCGCCGGCGAACUCUGGUUCGCGCUGAUGUGGGUGCUGGACCAGCUGCCCAAGAUGCAGCCUGUCCGGCGCACCGUCUUCGCCACGGCGCUCGAGGAGCCGCUGCUUCCGACCAUGGAUGUGUUCGUCACCACCGCCGAUCCCGAGAAGGAGCCGCCGCUGGUGACCGUGAACACUAUCCUCUCCAUCCUCGCCGCGGACUACCCCCCAGACAAGCUCACGUGCUACGUCUCAGACGACGGCGGCGCUCUGCUCACGCGCGAGGCGGUGGCGCACGCUGCCCGGUUCGCCAGACUGUGGGUGCCGUUCUGCCGGAAGCACGGGGUCGAGCCGAGGAACCCAGAGGCCUACUUCUGCCCCGGCGUCAAGGCGAGGGUAGUGUCAAGGGCUGCCUAUAUGGGAAGGUCGUGGCCGGAGCUGGCACGGGACCGGAGGCGUGUGCGCCGGGAGUACGAAGAACUGCGGCUGCGGAUCGACGCCCUCCACGCCGGAGACGUCCGGCGCCAGCCGUGGUCGCGCGGCACGCCCGAAUAUCAUGCCGGAGUGGUUGAAGUGCUAGUCGGUCCUCCGGGCAGCACGCCAGAGCUCGGCGUCAGUGAUCUUCUGGACCUCACCUCCGUCGAUGUGCGGGUUCCAGCGGUCGUUUACAUGUGCCGGGAGAAGCGCCACGGCCGCGUGCACCACCGGAAGGCAGGUGCCAUGAACGCGCUGCUCCGCACCUCCGCCGUGCUCUCCAACGCGCCCUUCAUCCUCAACCUCGACUGCGACCACUACGUCAGCAACUCGCAGGCCCUCCGCGCCGGCGUCUGCCUCAUGCUCGACCGCGGCGGCAGCAACGUGGCGUUCGUCCAGUUCCCGCAGCGCUUCGACGGCGUCGACCCCGCCGACCGGUACGCCAACCACAACCGCGUAUUCUUCGACUGCACGGAGCUCGGCCUCGACGGCCUCCAGGGACCCAUUUACGUGGGCACCGGCUGCAUGUUUCGCCGUGCGGCGCUAUACAACGCCGACCCGCCGCUCUGGAGACCACAUGGUGGUGACCGCGACGCUGGCAAGGACGUCGCCACAGAGGCUGACAAGUUUGGCAUCUCGACGCCGUUCCUUGUCUCGGUGCGUGCGGCCUUGAACUUGAACCGGUCGGAGCAAUGGAACACCACUUCACCGCCGCGCUCGUUCGACGGGGCUGCCGUCGGCGAGGCAACCGCGCUUGUCUCGUGCGGCUACGAGGACAGGACGGCGUGGGGCCGGGACAUCGGCUGGAUAUACGGCACCGUGACAGAGGACGUGGCCACGGGCUUCUGCAUGCACCGGCGAGGGUGGCGCUCCGCCUACUGCGCCACCGCGCCGGACGCGUUCCGCGGCACCGCGCCCAUCAACCUCACGGACCGGCUGCACCAGGUCCUCCGCUGGGCGGCGGGCUCCCUCGAGAUAUUCUUCUCCCGCAACAACGCCCUCCUCGCCGGGGCGCGGCUCCACCCGCUGCAGCGCCUGGCGUACCUCAACACGACGGUGUACCCGUUCACCUCCAUCUUUCUCCUGCUCUACUGCCUCCUGCCGGCGAUCCCGCUCGUGACCCGGAGCGCGAGCACGAGCGCCUUCUCAGUCAACACGCCGCCGUCGGCCACGUACAUCGGCUUUGUGGCGGCGCUGAUGCUGACGCUGGCCAUGGUGGCCGCGCUGGAGGUGAGGUGGUCGGGCAUAACGCUGGGCGAGUGGUGGCGGAACGAGCAGUUCUGGAUGGUGUCCGCCACGAGCGCGUACGCGGCCGCGGUGGUGCAGGUGGCGCUCAAGGUUGCGGCGGGGAAGGAGAUAGCGUUCAAGCUGACGUCCAAGCAGCGGGCGCCGAGCGCCGGUGGCGGUGUAGUAAAAAGACAGGUUCGCGGAGCUGUACGCCGUGAGAUGGACGGUGCUGAUGGUUCCGACGGCGGUGGUGCUGACGGUGAACGUGGCGUCCAUGGCAGCAGCGGUACAAGAGGGACGGUGGAGGAAAGGCCCCGCGGCGGUGCUCGCGAUGGCGUUCAACGCGUGGGUGGUGGUGCAUCUCCACCCGUUCGCCCUUGGUCUCAUGGGCCGUUGGAGCAAGACGUUGAGCCCCCUGCUCUUGCUCGUCGUAGUGUUCACAGUUCUAUCACUAUGUUUUGUCCUCCAUUUGCAUAUGCUUUAAUAUGGCUGUUAUUUGGCUGA